UGCUGACUUUGCCAGCACAACACUGAAAUCAGAAGGAUACAGAGAUCAGCAAGGCCCCUGUGCAAGGGUGACAUGCAAAUUCCUGAAGCACUCCAUGUUUCA